rnacentral:rRNA from 1 species
UCGAACGGUAACGCGGGGGCAACCCUGGCGACGAGUGGCGAACGGGUGAGUAAUACAUCGGAACAUGUCCAUAAGUGGGGGAUAGCCCGGCGAAAGCCGGAUUAAUACCGCAUACGCUCUGAGGAGGAAAGUGGGGGACCCGCAAGGGCCUCACGCUUUAGGAGUGGCCGAUGUCGGAUUAGCUAGUUGGGGGGGUAAAGGCCCACCAAGGCGACGAUCCGUAGCUGGUCUGAGAGGAUGAUCAGCCACACUGGGACUGAGACACGGCCCAGACUCCUACGGGAGGCAGCAGUGGGGAAUUUUGGACAAUGGGGGCAACCCUGAUCCAGCCAUGCCGCGUGAGUGAAGAAGGCCUUCGGGUUGUAAAGCUCUUUCGGACGGAACGAAAUGGUUAUGGUGAAUAUCCAUGACUGAUGACGGUACUGUAAGAAGAAGCACCGGCUAACUACGUGCCAGCAGCCGCGGUAAUACGUAGGGUGCGAGCGUUAAUCGGAAUUACUGGGCGUAAAGCGUGCGCAGGCGGCCGCGCAAGUCAGGUGUGAAAUCCCCGGGCUUAACCUGGGAAUUGCGCUUGAAACUAUGCGGCUAGAGUGUGGCAGAGGGGGGUGGAAUUCCACGUGUAGCAGUGAAAUGCGUAGAGAUGUGGAGGAACACCGAUGGCGAAGGCAGCCCCCUGGGCCAACACUGACGCUCAGGCACG